rnacentral:rRNA from 1 species
AUUGAACGCUGGCGGCAUGCUUUACACAUGCAAGUCGGACGAGUGGCGAACGGGUGAGUAACGCAUCGGAACGUACCGAGUAAUGGGGGAUAACUGUCCGAAAGGACAGCUAAUACCGCAUAUUAUUCGAGCGGCCGAUGUCUGAUUAGCUGGUUGGCGGGGUAAAGGCCCACCAAGGCGACGAUCAGUAGCGGGUCUGAGGGGAUGAGCCGCCACACUGGAACUGAGACACGGACCAGAGGCCUACUGGGGGCAGCAGUGGGGAAUUUUGGACAAUGGGCGCAAGCCUGAUCCAGCCAGGCCGCGUGUCUGAAGAAGGCCUGCGGGUUGUAAAGGACUUUGGCGAGGGAAGCGGUACGUGAAGAAUAGGCACCGGCGAACUCCGUGCCAGCAGCCGCGGUAAUUC